rnacentral:rRNA from 1 species
GACGAACGCUGGCGGCGUGCUUAACACAUGCAAGUCGAACGCUGAAGCUCAGCUUUUGUUGGGUGGAUGAGUGGCGAACGGGUGAGUAACACGUGAGUAACCUGCCUCCUUCUUUGGGAUAACGCCCGGAAACGGGUGCUAAUACUGGAUAUUCACUGGUCUUCGCAUGGGGGUUGGUGGAAAGGGUUUUUCUGGUGGGGGAUGGGCUCGCGGCCUAUCAGCUUGUUGGUGGGGUGAUGGCCUACCAAGGCUUUGACGGGUAGCCGGCCUGAGAGGGUGACCGGUGAAAUUGGGAAUGAGAUACGGCCCAGACUCCUACGGGAGGCAGCAGUGGGGAAUAUUGCGCAAUGGGCGCAAGCCUGAUGCAGCGACGCAGCGUGAGGGAUGGAGGCCUUCGGGUUGUGAACCUCUUUCGCUCAUGGUCAAGCCGCAACAAUGGUUGUGGUGAGGGUAGUGGGUAAAGAAGCGCCGGCUAACUACGUG